rnacentral:rRNA from 1 species
GACGAACGCUGGCGGCGUGCUUAACACAUGCAAGUCGAGCGGUAAGGCCCUUUCGGGGGUACACGAGCGGCGAACGGGUGAGUAACACGUGGGUGACCUGCCCUCAGCUCUGGGAUAAGCCUGGGAAACCGGGUCUAAUACCGGAUAUGACUCCAUGACGCAUGUUGUGGGGUGGAAAGCCUUGUGCGGCUGAGGAUGGGGCCCGCGGCCUAUCAGCUUGUUGGUGGGGUGAUGGCCUACCAAGGCGACGACGGGUAGCCGGCCUGAGAGGGCGACCGGCCACACUGGGACUGAGACACGGCCCAGACUCCUACGGGAGGCAGCGAGUGGGGAAUCUUGCGCAAUGGGCGAAAGCCUGACGCAGCGACGCCGCGUGAGGGAUGACGGCCUCGG